rnacentral:ncRNA from 1 species
GCGUCCUUAUAUUUAAGCGAGAUAUAGCAGUGUUGUCUUCAGUUUUAUGAGGUAAAGCGAAUGAUUAGGGACUCGGGGGCGAUUUUUAGCCUUCAUCCAUUCUCAAACUUUAAAUAUGUAAGAAGCCCUUGUUACUUAGCUGAACGUGGGCAUUCGAAUGUAUCAACACUAGUGGGCCAUUUUUGGUAAGCAGAACUGGCGAUGCGGGAUGAACCGAACGCGGGGUUAAGGUGCCGGAGUGGACGCUCAUCAGACACCACAAAAGGCGUUAGUACAUCUUGACAGCAGGACGGUGGCCAUGGAAGUCGGAAUCCGCUAAGGACUGUGUAACAACUCACCUGCCGAAUGUACUAGCCCUGAAAAUGGAUGGCGCUCAAGCGUCCCACCCAUACCCCGCCCUCAGGGUAGAAACGAUGCCCUGAGGAGUAGGCGGCCGUGGAGGUCAGUGACGAAGCCUAGGGCGUGAGCCCGGGUCGAACGGCCUCUAGUG